AGCGAACGCUGGCGGCAGGCCUAACACAUGCAAGUCGAGCGGCCGUAGCAAUACGGCAGCGGCAGACGGGAGAGUAACACGUGGGAACGCGCCCUUCGGUUCGGAAUAACUCAGGGAAACUUGAGCUAAUACCGGAUACGCCUACGGGAAAGAUUAUUGCCGAAGGAACGGCCCGCGUCCGAUUAGCUAGUUGGUGAGGUAAUGGCGUCACCAAGGCGACGAUCGGUAGCUGG
rnacentral:rRNA from 1 species